AAAAAUUCAGUUGAGUUGAAAGGGUCAAUUUAAAAUCCAACAAAUAUAUGGAGGGUUAUUUCAUGCUGCUAUUUUAAUGAGGACCAAUGAAUCAUCCAAAUUCAUAUUUACAAUUUUGGGGCAACUCAUGGGAAUUAGUCAAUACUAAAAAGAAUGGUAGUAUAGCUCUCGGGAGAAAUUUCAUAUAACUCCAUUGCUGGUUCUUUGGUGUCAUAAUUUCAGCAUACAUGUGAAUAUUAAAUCAACCUCGCGUACCUAAAGAAAUUAGGAAAAACACUAAGGCUGGAGUGCGGCUCACGUGUCCUCGUCAGUUUCGGCAUGACCAAUGCAUCCUCGCCCAUUGUGGCGCGACCCCUACAUCCUUGGUGGCGGCCCUGGCACCCACAUCCAGCUGCAUCCAUGCUUGGGCAUGAACAAUAUAACAAACAAAUAAUGUGGACCAAUUGUUCAUGGAAUUUUGCAAUGUGAUAUAGGCUAUAGACUGCUAUGACAGGAAAGAAUACUCAAAUUUAUAUUGUACCAUAAUGUCAAGCUCAAGAAUUUUGCACCAUGUCUUCUCCUUUGGCCCUACACCAACGUUUAGCACGACGUCAACAAACUCAUGACUCCAUCACUGGUGACUGAUCUUACCUGUCUCCUCCUACCUGUGAAAACACAAAUAUUAAACUCUAUUGUUAAAGAUAUAUUUGUAACAUGUGAAGAAGAGGGAAAUGAAAUAUGGCAAUUUAAUGUGUCA
rnacentral:lncRNA from 1 species